AGGGGAGAGACGAGGGCGGGUCCGGCCCGGGCACCCUACUAGCGCCCGUUAUUUUAACGGGCUUAAAAAUACUAGUCUAUCAAUAAAAGGAUAGUGGGCAGGGGUCUGCGAAGAGAGAGGUCAUGAGGGAGGAAAGAGCCCCUUCAGGAGAAGGAAGGGGGGGGGGGAGAGAAGGACUGAGGGGAAACGCAAGCAGAGGAAAGGGAAAAGAGAAAAACUGAGGGCGAGGAAUGGGCCUGGGCCUCUCAGUGGCCUGAAGGAAGCAUGUAUCUGAUCCUUCCGUUCUUCGUGGUUCUUAGCAAUUCUUGGGAUGGUUUGGUUGAAUGUGUUCAGGAGAAAAACCCAGGAGGAAGUUGGUAUGCUAUGUCAAAAUAUGCAGACCCCUAAGGUCCACCUGUAUAUUUUAUGCAAAAACCUCCAGUAAAGGGAAACCUCAUUAUCCACAGAUUCGUGGUCGAGGAAAAGAUACCUGACCUCAGCAUACACUGGAAAAAUAGAAAAGAAAAACACAUCGCCUUCAUGUAUCCAUGGGUCAGGGACGGCCGGAAAUUACCACGGAGGUCAUUCCCAGCCACCAUUUUGUUUGAGUCACAAAAUGGAUCUGUUUGCGGGGGGGGGAGAAACAGCAAUUUUGUGGCCGAUUUUGGGGCAUUCUGGGACACAGCAUGACUUGGGAGGCACAGAAAAGCAUGGUAAGGAGUUCCCCCCACGCGCUCCCUCCAUGAAAUCUGGCCGAUUUGGGGGCAUUUUUGAGCAAUUUCUGACUGACCAGGACCUAACCCCCCAUAAUCCCAUUGACUUUAAUGCCUCGAUAUUCAUGGUUUCCACAUCUGCUGCAGCAGCCAAGAAUAGAACCCACGUGAAUAUCGAGAUCCUCCUGUACAUGAAAUUCCCCCAAGUUGUAUUGCAGAGUUUUUCAAGUGGUUGAACUGAAAUAUUUGGUGGCGGUGAUGAGGAAAUCUAUAAAGAUACUAAUUGUAAUUUUAAUGGAAUACUGAAACUAAUUAAAAGUUUGUAUUUGAUCUUUGAUUGAAAUAAACAUUGACUAAUUAAAAGCU